rnacentral:lncRNA from 1 species
CAGGAUUGGGCUAGCAAGUUGGUAGUAAAUGGAAUUAAAUACCCAUUUAACACCAACCUAACAUGUAAAAAAAAUGACUACUCUAUCAUAUCAUAGUCGUGCGAUUGCAAUUUAAAAGUUCAUAUUCAAUCUCUUUCUUUUUGUAGUCCAAUUAUCGAAUAACAUCACAAUCGUUUGAUGAAUCACUACGGUCGACAAUUGUUUUAGUCUAUGAAGAAAAGUAAUACCUAGUUUGAGCUUUGAAAAUGCCAUGUUUUCUGGUACGAAAAAAGGUUAAUCCUCCAUGUUCUGAUGAUGAUGAUGUAAGUAGUUGUGAGUUGAGUUUGUUGACUAAUUGAGUUGUUUUGAGAAGAUGAAUGAGAAGUGAUAAUUUUUUUUUGGCUUUAUUGAGGAUUUGGAUGAUAUCUAUGGAUGGUGAUUUGGGGAGAAUGGGUGUGGGGGACACUUGGGGAUACUGGUACAAGAGGGAUAGUGUUGAAACCUGGUGCUGGUGUGGAAGCUUGUGGUGGUUGAUCCAGUGAGAAUUGAGCUAAUGUGGUAGUGGAAUAAUAGAGGGUGAUAGUGAUUAGUAGAUGCAGAGUUGAAAUACACAAGAGAGAUCGUUGUUUCUUCAUUUUAUUACUUUAAAUAUUGAAGUGCGAGAUUAAUAGGACAAUUUGAAAUUACAAGAUAAUAAUUAAUUAAUUUGUGUAUUUAUUCGAGGAAUUAAG